GUGCUCACACCACACCUACCCCCAACAAGUGGGAUGGGGGUUCACUUACACAUGGCUGUGAUCCAGGCACCUCUUCCCAUAGACAGUUGAUGCUGGCAAGACCAAGACCUAAGGACUACUGUCUCUCUGGAGUAUACAGGUACAACCUCGAUCCCUCCACACUGUUUCUUUGCUGUGGCCUCCUCAGUUUCCUCCUCUUCACAUAUAUCCUGCAAUCCAGUCACACCUUCAUGCUGGAAACCUCCAGAGCCAUCAAGACUCCUUGAAAAUAAUUACAGUUGACAUUUCCAUCGGUGAGACCAAACGCUGGUCUCACACAGUGAAAAUGGCAUGCUUGCGAUAGGCUGUGCUCUAGAAAGCAUCCGACAAAGAAUCUGCUUCCACAGACCCCGGGGCAGCCUCUGGAUGAUGUAUAAGUGUCCUCUCUACCAGCCUGGGACUGAAGCCUGUUGGAUGGCGCCACCAGACUCAGGGUGGGCCUUCCCACCUCAGCUAAACCUUUCUGGGAACUCUCUCAAAAGAACAC
rnacentral:lncRNA from 1 species